rnacentral:lncRNA from 1 species
CAGGCCAAUACAAAAAAAUUCAGAAAACCUUAAGAGAUAUUUGUAGAAAGUAAACUCCUUGAGGACAGGAAUUGUUUUUGGUUUUGUUUGUACAUCUCCAAACCAAACACAGUUCCUUAUACCCAGCAGGCACUAGAAAUACUUGAGAAAUGGAAUAGAAUAGAACAGAGUAAAAUGGAAUGGAAUAUGGACAUGAUACAUCUUUGAUGAUCCUCUCAAAUUGAACAAUGACAUCAUAGGCAAGAAAAUGACCUGAGCUCAAAAUGCUCAAUUCAAACAUGUAUUAAAUAUUUACAAUGUAAGGUACUAUGCUCUGUGACUCUGUGACACAACAAUAAGGAAUCUGAGCUAAAACUAAAGAAUGCUACCUUAAGCAGGGACUUGAACUGCCCUGAAGUUGGGCAUAGCUCUUGAGUCUUUUCUGCUUUGUUUUGUUUUAGAGAAAGACGAACUGUCCUAUUAUUACCCCGUGUUUAAUACCUCAGGUUUCUUGUAACUAUUUGUCAUUUAUUUUAUUAUAGACUUUUGAUUUGGAGAAACUGAAACAAUAUAUUCACAAUUGGUGGAGAAGAUUCUGAGUUCCAUCUUUGCUUGUAAUGCUUUUCAGCUCGGAUGAUGACCUUUGGAAUAAAAUAGACAAAAUUAACAUCACUAAUAAGGAAUUGAUACCUAAGAUAAGCAAGAAUACAAUAAUAGAGAUCCUGCCUGCCAUGAUGAAUCAAAUCUCUGAGCUCAAGUAGAGUUAUAUCCUCAGGUACCAAAGAACUUGAAGAUGGGAUGGCUGUACCAUUUUCAAUGAUCUUUAAGAGAUGAUAAAGGAUGGAUCAUGGUGAACAGAAGAAGUAACACAGGACUAAAAAGGAACAAGAGUACCAAUGUUUUAAGAGAGGAGGUCUCUGGUGCGAAUGGGAGUCUGCAAACCAAUAGACCUUUGAGCUUGAAUUUAACUUCUAUAAAAAAUUC